rnacentral:rRNA from 1 species
UGCCAGCAGCCGCGGUAAUACGUAGGGUGCGAGCGUUAAUCGGAAUUACUGGGCGUAAAGCGUGCGCAGGCGGUUUUGUAAGACAGAUGUGAAAUCCCCGGGCUUAACCUGGGAACUGCGUUUGUGACUGCAAGACUUGAGUGCGGCAGAGGGGGGUGGAAUUCCACGUGUAGCAGUGAAAUGCGUAGAGAUGUGGAGGAACACCGAUGGCGAAGGCAGCCCCCUGGGUCGACACUGACGCUCAUGCACGAAAGCGUGGGUAGCAAACAGGAUUAGAUACCCUGGUAGUCCACGCCCUAAACGAUGCGAACUAGGUGUUGGGGAAGGAGACUUUCUUAGUACCGCAGCUAACGCGUGAAGUUCGCCGCCUGGGGAGUACGGUCGCAAGAUUAAAACUUAAAGGAAUUGGCGGGGGA